rnacentral:lncRNA from 1 species
GGGAAAGCUGUGCUCUAUGGGGGAGCUCUGUGCUCUAUGGGGGAGCUGUGCCCUAUGGAGGAAGGUUCUGCCUUAUGGGGGAAAGCUGUGCCCUAUAGGGGAAGCUGUGUCCUAUGGGGAAUCUCUGUGCCCUAUGGGGGAUUGCUGUGCUCUAUAGGGGAUCGCUGUGCCCUAUGGGGGAUUGCUGUGCCAUAUGGGGUUUUGCUCUGCCCUAUGGGGGAAGGUUCUGCCCUAUGGGGGAAAGCUGUGCCCUAAGGGGCAUCGCUCUGCCCUAUAGGGGAAAGCUGUGCCCUAUGGGGGAUUGCUGUG